AGUAGACAACAGGAACAAAUGGAGUGAAUUAUUAACCAUGUACUAUGAGGCUGUCUUAUAUUUGAGGAACUGGGCAUAUGUAAGUAAUAAAGUACAGCCCUUUCUGCCAAGUAUUUCAGAAUUCCAGCUAAAAAAGAUGGCAAGCAACAAUUUUCUGGCAAGGAAGAAAGGGGAGAAAAAAAUUUCCCGUUAGGAAAGAAAAGCGUCUACCACAAGCACUAUAAUUAUAACAAAACAUGACAUCGUUGUGAAGCCUCAUGUAAAGAAUUAUGAAAGGAAACCCAUUCUGUUUGGAUUAUGUUUGUAUUCGUAGCUUUUAAAUUUGUGGCUGGUGAAUAAUUAAAAAGUCACAAAGAACAGAAAGACUUAUUGCUGUAGAAUGUUAUUGCAUUUGAUUACCUUGA